rnacentral:rRNA from 1 species
GACAGAGGGUGCAAACGUUGUUCGGAAUUACUGGGCGUAAAGCGCGUGUAGGCUGCUCGGAAAGUCGGAUGUGAAAGCCCUGGGCUCAACCUAGGAAGUGCAUUCGAAAACUUCCGAGCUGGAGUGCUGGAGAGGAAGGCGGAAUUCUCGGUGUAGAGGUGAAAUUCGUAGAUAUCGAGAGGAACACCGGUGGCGAAGGCGGCCUUCUGGACAGUGACUGACGCUGAGACGCGAAAGCGUGGGGAGCAAACAGG